rnacentral:rRNA from 1 species
UACGAAGGGGGCUAGCGUUGCUCGGAAUUACUGGGCGUAAAGCGUGCGCAGGCGGUUUUGUAAGACAGAGGUGAAAUCCCCGGGCUCAACCUGGGAACUGCCUUUGUGACUGCAAGGCUUGAGUGCGGCAGAGGGGGAUGGAAUUCCGCGUGUAGCAGUGAAAUGCGUAGAUAUGCGGAGGAACACCGAUGGCGAAGGCAAUCCCCUGGGCCUGCACUGACGCUCAUGCACGAAAGCGUGGGGAGCAAACAGG